UACGUUGAAAAGCCAAGAGACUCAAUACAGAGACUGUUAGAACUGAUACGAGAGUUUGGCAGGGUGGCAGGGUACAAAAUAAGUGAACAAAAAACAACAGC